rfam:Geosporobacter subterraneus DSM 17957 genome assembly, contig: EJ58DRAFT_scaffold00034.34
AGACAAUGGGGUUUGCAAAGGGGAAGCCCCUUUGCUGGUUUAAGGAGGGUGCUCAGGCUGACUUGCAGCCGUCGAAGGGAAC